GGUAUUGGUUUGUAGGUUGUUUGUCCAAAGGCAGGUGAAUUGCUAGCUGGGCAUUGGAUGACAGUUUGAAGGAGUAUCAAAUACAAAUUGAUUGUAACUGCCGAGAAGUAGACAUUAAUAAUUGUGAGGACACUCCCAAGUCUAUCAAUGUACUUCUCAUAACAAAGUCAUCUUAUAAUUUAAAUCAUCCUUGAUGUCCUUUACAGGAAAUGUUACCAUCUUACUAAUUUUUUACAUUAAUAUGUAGAAAGCAAAUAUUAAAUCGGAUCUUCUGAUGUCAUUGGUGCAUUAAUACACUGAGGAUUAUAGAGUAUAAUACAAGAUUUGUUUGUUUUUUUAUACAUUUAACUUUCCAUUUUCUUCUUAAGGCACAUUUCAGCCUCCAUUACAUGAGGAUCAAAAUAUGUUGCUGUACUUUUUUGCAAAUCGCA